rnacentral:rRNA from 1 species
GACGAACCGAGCGAACGUUGUUCGGAAUCACUGGGCUUAAAGGGCGCGUAGGCGGGCUGUCAAGUCUGGGGUGAAAUGCCACGGCUCAACCGUGGAACUGCCUCAGAUACUGACGGCCUCGAGGGAGGUAGGGGCGAGCGGAACGGGUGGUGGAGCGGUGAAAUGCGUUGAUAUCACUCGGAACUCCGGUGGCGAAGGCGGCUCGCUGGAUCUCUUCUGACGCUGAGGCGCGAAAGCUAGGGGAGCAAACGGG